CGGAUGCGAUCAUACCAGCACUAAAGCACCGGAUCCCAUCAGAACUCCGAUGUUAAGCGUGCUUGGGCGAGAGUAGUACUAGGAUGGGUGACCUCCUGGGAAGUCCUCGUGUUGCAUCCCUC
rnacentral:rRNA from 1 species